rnacentral:rRNA from 1 species
UACGUAGGGGGCAAGCGUUGUCCGGAUUUAUUGGGCGUAAAGAGCGUGUAGGCGGUCAGGUAGGUCCGUUGUGAAAACUCGAGGCUCAACCUCGAGACGCCGGUGGAAACCCCAUGGCUAGAGUCCGGAAGAGGAGAGUGGAAUUCCUGGUGUAGCGGUGAAAUGCGCAGAUAUCAGGAAGAACACCAAUGGCGAAGGCAGCUCUCUGGGACGGUACUGACACUGAGACGCGAAAGCGUGGGGAGCGAACAGG